UAUUCAAACUGCAGCUGCAGAGAUUAGAACAUCAAUUAAUUAGUAGUAAAUGAAAGAAUCACUGCAUGACAGGGUAUUGAAUGGAGUUGGGGCCUCCAGGGUGACCAUGUCCCCUGCCACCCUCGAUUGGACUGAAACACUCAUCUGCUGGAAAAAUUCUGUUGGUGGAUUCAUUGUUGUUCAUCCUGAAGAUUAUGCCAUCAUUUCUCAAUAUUUUAAAUAAAUGACUUUACAAUUUUUAAGGACUCAACCUCCAG